GUUUCUGUAGUGUAGUGGUUAUCACGUUCGCUUAACACGUGAAAGGUCCUCAGUUUGAAUCCGGGAGGAAACA
rnacentral:tRNA from 1 species